rnacentral:rRNA from 1 species
UGGGGAAUUUUUCGCAAUGGGCGCAAGCCUGACGAAGCAACGCCGCGUGGAGGAUGAAGGUCUUCGGAUUGUAAACUCCUGUCGACCGGGACGAAUGCACCCGACCUAAUACGUCGAAGUGUUGACGGUACCGGUGGAGGAAGCCACGGCUAACUCUGUGCCAGCAGCCGCGGUAAUACAGAGGUGGCAAGCGUUGUUCGGAAUUACUGGGCGUAAAGGGCGCGUAGGCGGCCUGAUAAGUCUCGUGUGAAAGCCCUCGGCUUAACUGAGGAUCUGCACGGGAUACUGUUGGGCUUGAGUUCGGGAGAGGAAAGCGGAAUUCCGGGUGUAGCGGUGAAAUGCGUAGAUAUCCGGAGGAACACCAGUGGCGAAGGCGGCUUUCUGGACCGACACUGACGCUGAGGCGCGAAAGCUAGGGGAGCAAACGGGAUUAGAUACCCCCGUAGUCCCUGAGCGGGCUGGCAAGGCGCAU